GAGGGUGUAGCUCAGUGGUAGAGCACAUGCUUAGCGUGCACAAGGUGCUGGAUUCAAUCCCCAGCACCUCCA
rnacentral:tRNA from 1 species